GAUGAACGCUGGCGGCGUGCCUAACACAUGCAAGUCGAACGAAAGGACAAGACGCAUGCGUUCCUGCGGUUGGCAGUGGUCGGAUGGGUGACCCGUAGAUUACCUCCUUCUUAUUCUGGGAUAUCUACGGGGAUCAGCUUCUGAUACCACAUUAUAUUCCGCACAGGAUGAUUCAACAGUAUUAUGCGGUGUUACUGUCUCCGUUAGAUGGAUCCGCACUCGCUUAGUUAGUUGGUAAGGGAACGGCUUACCAAGGCAACGAUGCGUAGCCGACCUGAGAGGGUGAUCGGCCACACGGGAACUGAGACACGGUCCAGACUCCUACGGGAGGCAGCAGUAGGGAAUCUUACGCAAGGGGCGAAAGCCUGAUGGAGCAAAACCGCGUGAGUGAUGAAGGACUUCGGAUCGUAAAGCUCUGUUGUUAGGGAAGAACAUAUGUGUAAUAAACAGUGAAGAUAUUGACGGUACCUAAGCAAGAAGCCACGGCUAACUACGUG
rnacentral:rRNA from 1 species